rnacentral:rRNA from 1 species
UACAGAGGGGGCAAGCGUUGUUCGGAAUUACUGGGCGUAAAGGGCGCGUAGGCGGCCUUCUAAGUCGAACGUGAAAUCCCCGGGCUCAACCCGGGAACUGCGUCCGAUACUGGAAGGCUUGAAUCCGGGAGAGGGAUGUGGAAUUCCAGGUGUAGCGGUGAAAUGCGUAGAUAUCGAGAGGAACACCUGCGGCGAAGGCGGGUUGCUGGCCGACACUGACGCUGAUGCGCGAAAGCCAGGGAGCGAACGGG